GCCUACGGCCAUAGCACGUUGACCACACCGGUUCUCGUCCGAUCACCGAAGUUAAGCAACGUCGGGCCCGGUUAGUACUUGGAUGGGUGACCGCCUGGGAACACCGGGUGCUGUAGGCA
rnacentral:rRNA from 1 species